rnacentral:rRNA from 1 species
AUUGAACGCUGGCGGCAGGCCUAACACAUGCAAGUCGAGCGGAUGAAGGGAGCUUGCUCCUGGAUUCAGCGGCGGACGGGUGAGUAAUGCCUAGGAAUCUGCCUGGUAGUGGGGGAUAACGUCCAGAAACGGGCGCUAAUACCGCAUACGUCCUGAGGGCGAAAGUGGGGGAGCUUCGGACCUCACGCUAUCAGAUGAGCCUAGGUCGGAUUAGCUAGUUGGUGGGGUAAAGGCCUACCAAGGCGACGAUCCGUAACUGGUCUGAGAGGAUGAUCAGUCACACUGGAACUGAGACACGGUCCAGACUCCUACGGGAGGCAGCAGUGGGGAAUAUUGGACAAUGGGCGAAAGCCUGAUCCAGCCAUGCCGCGUGUGUGAAGAAGGUCUUCGGAUUGUAAAGCCCUUUUAGUUGGGAGGAAGGGCAGUAAGUUAAUACCUUGCUGUUUUGACGUUACCAACAGAAUAAGCACCGGCUAACUUCGUG